rnacentral:rRNA from 1 species
UACGAAGGGGGCUAGCGUUGCUCGGAAUUACUGGGCGUAAAGCGCACGUAGGCGGAUUGUUAAGUCGGGGGUGAAAUCCUGGAACUCAACUCCAGAACUGCCUUCGAUACUGGCGAUCUCGAGUUCGGGAGAGGUGAGUGGAACUGCGAGUGUAGAGGUGAAAUUCGUAGAUAUUCGCAAGAACACCAGUGGCGAAGGCGGCUCACUGGCCCGAUACUGACGCUGAGGUGCGAAAGCGUGGGGAGCAAACAGG